AGGAAGCUAGCUGAGCAUGGGCCAGAGAGUAAGCCAUCCAGUGGUGCUCCUCCAUGGUUUCUGUCUUCUGGGUCCUUGAGUCCUGCCUUGAUGUCCCUCAGUGACAGACAGUGACCUGGAAGUGUAAGACCUCCAGACAUCUAUGGUUAACUAGUGGCUAGCUCUACCCUGUGAUCUCCAGGCAAGCUUUAUUUGUCAGAACACGAAACACCACAACAAUAAGGAGGAAAGAUCUUGCUUCUUGGUAUUUAUGCCGAAGUACAUAAAGAAUGCUGGGGAGCCCUCGUUCUCAAAAACUAAGCAGGCUUUUAGCUGUUGGGAUCCCAUAAAACUCAAAAGGACAAAUAUGACCUACACUUGUUUUGCUGAAGCCAAUUUUCACAACCUGGUAUUUAAGUUGAGCUCAGGGACAUUUGAGUAAUCCCACAGGCUCUCUGGGCUCUGGUAUUCAUCUGCAUCUUAGUUUUCUGCUUGGGGAUUUUGGAUCACAACUGCCAACCUGGGAAAACCACAUCACUUACACGAGAUUAAGCAGUCCCUAAUUAGUUUUCCUGACCCUCUUGUAUACCAAUAAAUGGCCCAUUUACAGGACAUUAAAACAGAAUUCUUUCCAUUAAAAAUGACUUCCUUGCUAGUGAACAAGACCUAGGUUUAACACACAUGUUAGUUAACAUGAGGUUGUCCUAAUGUACAGUGGACACUUUCCAGUGGGAAGUGAUUGGAGGACUAAUUAGGAUUCUUGGCUCGGUCAAUUAACUGGGAGGGGAGUCUCUCUACGGUGAUGUAAAUAUUGCUUAUAUUCUUAGUUUGUUUUGGGCCUAUUACGUUUUGAACCAAAGAGCUAGAGACUGAAGUGAAAUCCUAUUACAAGCUUUGGAAAAUGAUGAGCCUAAAAAGGCAUUUUAUAUGACAUCAUCAGGUCAGUUUUAAAGUUUUAUUUAGAUAUGCAAAUGCAGUAGCCACUUCUUUUGGAUUCUGACGCACACCUCAUCCUAUCGAAAGCACUGUGAGUCCCUUGGUGUGCAUAGUAGGCAUCUCAUGAUUAGUCUAGGGAACUGCACUAUUUUGAGGGGUGAUUGCUGUUUAUAGCACUAAGUCUGUUUUGCCUAAGAAAGCCAAUUACAGAACAGUGAGAACAUAUGUAGAGAAGAAAGAGCUUAGCUAGGAGGGCGAAUCUCCACUUCCCCUUCCUAAGGGUGUUUGUGGGGUAAAGAAAAAGGGUGGUAUGGGCAUUGAGAAAGGUAUUUACAAGUGAGAGAAAGCAAGAUUUGAUGUCAGCCGGGGGAGGGGGGUGGUAUCUGUGGCACCUUUCUAUACCCGUGCUUUGAAAUGCCCCAGCUAAGCACAUUUUGUAGGUGACUGUUUGCUCUUCAGCAUCCAAACACUGUCACUGGACAUUUGCACAGGCCUGGGUGGUGGAUUUUUGGUUUCAAAUCAGGUUGGAACUCCCUUUGAGUUCCUGAAAGCAAUUAAGCAGCCGUGAUGAUUUCGACCCAGUCACUUGGGAGUCAUUUCCAGGUGGGUGAGUGGCCUUGUUUUGUGGCUGCCGUUCCUAGCCAGAUUUCCACACCAGCAGGUCAUAAGUCAAUAUGAGUUACAGUAAAGGAUGGGGGAGGUGACUCUGAAGACUCUCGGGAACCCGGGUUCCUGACCAGGAAAAGAAGGAUGCCCCGAAGGAAGGGGAUUCCUUGUCUUUGGUGUGCUGUGGGAACUUAAAUAGGCAGCCGUAGCCAUGACUUUGACCUGAGGUGUCCCAAGAAAGCAAAACACCAGUUUGGUUUCUACAUAGGGAAACUAGAAUAGGUGAGUGAAGAAAGAGAUACAAAUUUCAAUAUGACCAUAGGACCAAUUCAAGCAGUUGGCUCUCUGCAAUAUUUUGAACAUGAAAUACCCUCAAAGUCAUACACACACAGGCAUGUGUUGCUGUUUGAUUCCAGCUGGUGGCACUAUUUAUGAUGGUGAUGGAAAUGAUAGGCUACAGGGCCAACGUGGCUGAGACAGGCCACUGGAGCAGUGUCCACAGACCCUUGCUUGACCUCGCCUGGCUGCUCUAAGUUGGGAGAACCGCUAUCACUAUCUGUUCUCUUGCCAUGGUGUUCUGCCCAAGCGUCUAGGACCAGAGAAACCCCCAAAAUAUCCCAGCUGGUCACAAGCCUCUACCAUAGACAGUCUCUUGGUCGAAUGAUGCUUCCAAUUGGAUUAGUCUCAUCAGGAGCAAGGAUGUGUGUCCUGGGACCCAAGUUUCAAAGCAUCUACAUGGCCCUGUAGGCAGAAGGUCAAUGAAAUCCCACAAGGAUGCACCAUAAAUAUACACAGUAAAUAUCAUUUUAUACACCCCAGUAUAGGCCAUAUACUUAUUUUCUGGAGAGCAGUGAAAGGUAAGUACAAAAGGCUCCAGACAAACACGAAUUCUGAGCUCAUGUGAGGUUGAAGCCAAAUCACUCAGGUCAAAGGGACAGUCUACAGAGGAAGGUAGAAGAACAAGUCUAACUGGGCCAAUGCUGACUCACAGAGGGUCCUGUGGGUUCAUGCAGCCAAGCUGGGGUCACCUGUCGAGUCUCCUGAAAGUAUAUCUGAGGUGGAUAGAUAGGCUACAAUGUUGGCAGAGGCCCAUCGUUGGUUCUGUGACCUGUGGUGUAGAAUCUAUUAGGAUAGGAAGGACGCUUCGGGAAUUUGUGUAUUUGCCCCCAUCGUUUGGCUAAUAGAGUGAGUCAGCAGGAAUGUUCUAUCCCCAAAUGAAUCACAGAGACUGGCACUUGUAUUAGCUACUUUUUCUUGUUGAUGUUUCAAGAUCCCUGACUGAAGCAAUUCAGGAACGAUCCAUUUUGUCUUCGAGGUAAAAGGGAUACAGUUUGUUAUGGUGGAGAAAGAAUACAGCCGGAGAAUGGGGUAGUUAUUCUUACUGUUUCUACAGUCACUAAGCAGAGAGAGGUGAAUUCUUGCUUUCUCCUUCUUCCCUUUUUUAUUCACUUCAGGAUGCCAGCCCAUUGGAUGAUACCACUAUGCACAAGGUGGGUCUUCCUGCCAAAGUAAAUCUCUGUAGAAAUGACAACACAGACAACUCAAAGAUGUCUCUGCUAGGUUAUUUUAAAUGCAGUUGGCUGACAAUGAAGGUAUGUAUUACACUAAACUUAAGGGCGUGAAGGCAGUCUCCUCGUGUCUCCACUCUCCCCCUGUUCUGCUUGCCCCUUCACCCUCUGCAGAUAGAGGACACAAGAGGAUCACUGCACAUUUAAUAUCCCCGUGCCUGUGUACAUGACAUAUGCAGACGGUCUCCAAGCCAGAAGCCACUGGGUUUGUACACUGCACCAGAGACUGGAGACAGUGAGAAUAAUACUAGGAAAAUGAGGAAAGACCAUCUGGGGUAGAUGUUCGAGAGGGGCACAGGUGACCAAGUGUUUGUUUCACACGUGGGAGGCCACCAGAAACCAUCUGCUUCUGCAGAAGCCACAAGAACCCAGGUGGGUGUGUGGCUUUGUUUUAUCUUUGUUUUUGCUUUUUGGGUUUUUUGAGACAGGGUUUCUCUGUGGCUUUGGAGGCUAUCCUGGAAAUAGCUCUUAUAGACCAGGCUGGUCUCGAGCUCACAGAGAUCUGCCUGCCUCUGCCUCCCGAGUGCUGGGAUUAAAGGUGUGCGCCACCACCACCCAGCAAAAAACUGUUAGUGCUCUCAUUUCUAGCUGGAUUUCCACACCAGAAGGUCAUCAGGGAAGAUGUGUUACAGUAAAGACUGGGGGAGGUGACUCUGCAGACUCUCAGGAACCUGGGUUCCUGACCAAGAAAAGAAGGAUGUCUCGAAGGAAGGGGAUUCCUUGUCUUCACUUGGGCCUUUGGUGUACUGUGGGAAUUUAAGCUGGCUAUUGUAGGCACCAUCUUGGCAAGUGACUGGAGACCUUCCCAAGGGCACGAUAGACCUCUUGAGGGCAGAAACACCAUCAGUCAGAUUUCUGCAUAGGGCAAUUAAAAUGGGUAAGUGAGGAAAGGGAUUUGUAUUUCAAUAUAUCCAAAGGACAUGUUAAAGAAGUUGGAUCUCUGAAACAUUUUGAACAUCAAAUAGUCCCACAGGCAUACACACAGUCGCGUGUUGCUGUUUCGUCCAGGCUGGUGGCAGCAUUUUUGGUAGUAAUGGAUACUUUGGGAGGUGGGGCCGAGACAGGCCACUGGAGUGGGGGCCACAGACCAAUGUUUGCUCUGCCCUCAUUCCUGUCUGCUGUAAGGCUGCUGGGAAGCUCAAUCUCUACCUACUUCUAUUGAUGCAGUGUCUGUCCAAGCUUCUACACCAGGUGAGCAGGAUUUGAACCCUGUGAAACUGUCACCUAAAACAUCUUUCCACUCCUAGACAAUCCUCCCAGGUGUCUGGUUCGUAGCUAUAAACCCCUUUCUAAGUUGCAGAAGAAGAAACAGGCAGGAUCUUGAGAGACUGGACAAGCAGCUCUCCUCUGGAGAAGAUAUGAGGAUAUCUUAAUCAUGUAACUGUAACGAUAAGUCUUUACUCCAUCCGCCCAAGCCCCGCCACCACGUGGGCGCCCAGAAUAACACACAGAGUCUUAUACUAGUUUACAAUGCUGCUGGCCAAAUGACUAGGAUUUCUUACUUGCUAGCUCAGUCUUAAGUUUCAACCAUAAAAACUCAUCUUAUCGGACACCAGCUGCAGGUGUCUUCUCUUGCAGGGAUCACAUGGUGGCUCCAUAGAGAAGAGAGCAGGAGGAAGAGGAAGAGCAAGA